rnacentral:rRNA from 1 species
CAAAAGCGUAUAUUAAAGUUGUUGCAGUUAAAAAGCUCGUAGUUGGAUUUCGGAUGGGAUUUGCCGGUCCGUCGUUACGAUGUGCACUGGCCAGUCCUAUCUUGUUGUCGGGGACUAGCUCCUUGGAUUCACUUCCUGGGACUAGGAGCUGACGAGGUUACUUUGAGUAAAUUAGAGUGUUCAAAGCAAGCCUACGCUCUGAAUACAUUAGCAUGGAAUAACACGAUAGGACUCUGGCUUAUCUUGUUGGUCUGUGAGACCAGAGUAAUGAUUAAGAGGGACAGUCGGGGACAUUCGUAUUUCAUUGUCAGAGGUGAAAUUCUUGGAUUUAUGAAAGACGAACUUCUGCGAAAGCAUUUGUCAAGGAUGUUUUCAUUAA